CACUUUAACGAGUAUCUACGAGAGGGCAAGUCUGGUGCCAGCAGCCGCGGUAAUUCCAGCUCUCGUAAGGUAUAGAAUUAUUGCUGUGGUUAAAAAGUUCGUAGUUGGAUGGUUAUGUUGACGCGGGGUCCACCGUUUUCGGUUGGUACUCGUUCGUCUUCGAUUUGUGUGUUCUUGUGCGUUGUUCGUUUUCGGACGUUCGGCGUGCGCCACACAAGAUUACUUUGAACGGCUCAAGUGCUCAACGCACGUCUUAUGACUGAAUACCGGUGCAUAGAAUAAUGGAACAAGGCUUCGGCCGAGUUAUGCUGGUUUUGUCGGCUGAGGCAAUGGUUAACAGAAACAGCCGGUGGCAUUCGUAUCGUUACGCGAGAGGUGAAAUUCGUGGACCGUAGCGAGACGUACAAAAGCGAAGGCACUUGCCAAGAGUGUUUUCAUUAAUCAAGAACGAAAGUCAGAGGUUCGAAGGCGAUUAGAUACCGCUUUAGUUCUGACCGUAAACGCUGCCAACUGUCGAUCCGCUUGUGGAUUUUAUUUCAUAAGCGGGGAGAUUCUCGGAAACGAAAGUUUUUCGGUUCCGGGGGAAGUAUGGUUGCAAAACUGAAACUUAAAGGAAUUGACGGAAGGGCACCACCAGGAGUGGAGCUUGCGGCUUAAUUUGACUCAACACGGGAAAUCUCACCCGGCCAGUACAUUGUAAGGAUUGACAGACUGAUAGCUCUUUCAUGAUUCGGUGAAUGGUGGUGCAUGGCCGUUCUUAGUUCGUGGAUUGAUUUGUCUGGUUUAUUCCGAUAACGAGCGAGACUUUGACUAUUAAAUAGUGCGAUUGUUCGUUUACGCUGCAAUCGAU
rnacentral:rRNA from 1 species